AUUGAACGCUGGCGGCAGGCCUAACACAUGCAAGUCGAGCGAGCGGCGGACGGGUGAGUAAUGUCUGGGAAACUGCCUGAUGGAGGGGGAUAACUACUGGAAACGGUAGCUAAUACCGCAUACCAUCAGAUGUGCCCAGGUGGGAUUAGCGAGUAGGUGGGGUAACGGCUCACCUAGGCGACGAUCCCUAGCUGGACUGAGAGGAUGACCAGCAACGCUGGAACUGGGACACGGUCCGGCCUCGUACGGGAGGCAGCAGUGGGGAAUAUUGCACAAUGGGCGCAAGCCUGAUGCAGCCAGGCCGCGUGUGUGAAGAAGGCCUUCGGGUUGUAAAGCACUUUCAGCGGGGAGGCGUUACCCGCAGAAGAAGCACCGGCUAACUCCGUGCCAGCCGCCGCGGUAAUUC
rnacentral:rRNA from 1 species